rnacentral:rRNA from 1 species
UCCGUAGGGUGCGAUCGUUAAUCGGAAUUACUGGGCGUAAAGCGUGCGCAGGCGGUUUUGUAAGACAGGCGUGAAAUCCCCGGGCUCAACCUGGGAAUGGCGCUUGUGACUGCAAGGCUGGAGUGCGGCAGAGGGGGAUGGAAUUCCGCAUGUAGCAGUGAAAUGCGUAGAUAUGCGGAGGAGCACCGAUGGCGAAGGCAAUCCCCUGGGCCUGCACUGACGCUCAUGCACGAAAGCGUGGGGAGAAAACAGG